AUUGAACGCUGGCGGCAGGCCUAACACAUGCAAGUCGAGCGGAGCGGCGGACGGGUGAGUAAUGCCUAGGAAUCUGCCUGUGAGUGAGGGAUAACGUCGGGAAGCGGGCGCUAAUACCGCAUACUAUCAGGUCAGCCUAGGUCGGAUUAGCUAGUUGGUGGGGUAAAGGCCUACCAAGGCGACGAUCCGUAGCUGGUCUGAGAGGAUGAUCAGUCACACUGGAACUGAGACACGGCCCAGACUCCUACGGGAGGCAGCAGUGGGGAAUAUUGGACAAUGGGCGAAAGCCUGAUCCAGCCAUGCCGCGUGUGUGAAGAAGGUCUUCGGAUUGUAAAGCUCUUUAAGUUGGGAGGCGGUACCAACAGAAUAAGCACCGGCUAACUUCGUGCCAGCAGCCGCGGUAAUUC
rnacentral:rRNA from 1 species